rnacentral:rRNA from 1 species
CAGUCGCCGCGGGAAUACGAAGGGGGCUAGCGUUGCUCGGAAUCACUGGGCGUAAAGGGUGCGUAGGCGGGUUUUUAAGUCAGAGGUGAAAUCCUGGAGCUCAACUCCAGAACUGCCUUUGAUACUGAAAGUCUUGAGUAUGGGAGAGGUGAGUGGAACUGCGAGUGUAGAGGUGAAAUUCGUAGAUAUUCGCAAGAACACCAGUGGCGAAGGCGGCUCACUGGCCCAUAACUGACGCUGAGGCACGAAAGCGUGGGGAGCAAACAGGAUUAGAUACCCGUGUAGUCCCUGUCUCUUUACA